GAUGAACGCUGGCGGCGUGCCUAAUACAUGCAAGUCGAGCGAACAGACGAGGAGCUUGCUCCUCUGACGUUAGCGGCGGACGGGUGAGUAACACGUGGAUAACCUACCUAUAAGACUGGGAGAACUUCGGGAAACCGGAUCUAAUACCGGAUAAUAUAUUGAACCGCAUGGUUCAAUAGUGCAUGACGGUUUUGCUGUCACUUAUAGAUGGAUCCGCGCCGCAUUAGCUAGUUGGUAAGGUAACGGCUUACCAAGGCAACGAUGCGUAGCCGACCUGAGAGGGUGAUCGGCCACACUGGAACUGAGACACGGUCCAGACUCCUACGGGAGGCAGCAGUAGGGAAUCUUCCGCAAUGGGCGAAAGCCUGACGGAGCAACGCCGCGUGAGUGAUGAAGGUCUUCGGAUCGUAAAACUCUGUUAUUAGGGAAGAACAAAUGUGUAAGUAACUAUGCACGUCUUGACGGUACCUAAUCAGAAAGCCACGGCUAACUACGUG
rnacentral:rRNA from 1 species